AUGUAGCUCCCAAGAAAUCUAGUACAGUUCAGCUGACCUCAGCAGACCUGCCCAAGAGAGCAGAAUUCGGCUGUUUGUAUCUGCUGUGUGAUGCUCUGGAAUCCCCCAGAUGAAAGGUGCUAUGGAGAUGUGUUGCAGAGAAGAUCCAGAAGACAAAAGCAAAGGGUGCAGCAGAGUACUGCUGUGGUGCAGGCACAGCACCCAGCUCGCAGCUUGGCAAGGACUCAGCUGGAGGUGGCUCAGUCCAUCCAGGCUCAGAUGAAGAUGUCAGGCCAUCCCCCUGCAGUACCUGCUGUAGGCAAACCCAGGCCUUUGCCCUCUUAGAAACUACACUGGACCUACAGAAACUAUUGCAGGUAACAAAGUGACCGGCUGGACCAGACCCAGUGGGCCGCAGUGGCUUGGUCUGUGCCAGGGUUUCCCGAUGUUACUGCUCUGUUCCGAUGAAACAUAAUACAGAAAGAUACAGGCAAAGCAUUAUGCUCACAGCCUUUGCCAACAAGUUAUGUUUUAAUGUAAUUUAACUGUAAUCUCAGAGUGUUUUUGUUAGCUAUAAUUAGUAAAAUAUGUCUGUUUUCUGUGUUCCUUGAAGACGUCUGAACUCCUGCCAGUUCCCUAUAGUUUUCCUGACAUGCAGUGUAACAAGCAGACCACCAAAAUGUAUUUACCAAUAACUGUUUAUUUACAUUCCAUGAAAUCUAAUAACAUUUGCUGCCUUCCUUCGGGAUAAACGCUGGCCAAAGUGUAAAGCAUAAAAAAAUAAACACUGCCUUAAUUUCUAACCCAGUCCACAGAAUAUUUUAUUUUUGCUCAAUUUGCCUUGCCUGUUAGCAUUUUGGCGUUCUGCUGCUUGGAAGUUGAAAAAAAAAAAAAGUUGAAAAAGUUCUGUAAUGUAUCUUCCUGUUCAGUCCAAAACCUUGCAGGGAUUUCCUGGACAUUAUUUCUAAAGUCUGCAGGAGGCUGGUAUUUCAUUUCUUUG